UUGCUAAUCCUAGUUUGAAGCAAUCAGCCU
rnacentral:sRNA from 1 species